rnacentral:rRNA from 1 species
UGAUCCUGGCUCAGAUUGAACGCUGGCGGUAUGCUUAACACAUGCAAGCUCGAACGAGGGCAGCUGCUUGCAGUUGUGGACUAGUGGCGGACGGGUGAGUAACGCGUGGGAAUCUGCGGUAGUGGGGGACAGCCCGGAGAAAUCCGGAUUAAUACCGCAUACCUUCUACGGAAGAGGCUUCUGCCGCUACCAGAUGAGCCCGCGUUAGAUUAGCUAGUUGGUGAGGUAAGAGCACCAAGGCAACGAUCUAUAGCUGGUCUGAGAGGACGAUCAGCCACAUCGGGACUGAGACGGCCCGGACUCCUACGGGAGGCAGCAGUGGGGAAUAUUGGACAAUGGACGCAAGUCUUCCAGCAAUACCGCGUGUGUGAAGAAGGCCCGAGGGUUGUAAAGCACUUUCAGUGGGGGAUAAUGACGUUACCCACAGAAGAAGCACCGGCUAACUCAGUGCCAGCAGCCGCGGUAACUGAGGGUGCAAGCGUUAAUCGGAAUUACUGGGCGUAAAGCGCGCGUAGGCGGCUAAAAGUCAGAUGUGAAAUCCCUGGGCUCAACCUAGGAACUGCAUCCGAAACUGGUUAGCUAGUUUUGGAGAGGUAAGUGGAAUUUCCGGUGUAGCGGUGAAAUGCAUAGAGAUCGGAAAACACCAGUGGCGAAUGCGACUUACUGGCCAAAAACUGACGCUGAGGUGCGAAAGCGUGUAGCGAACAUGAUUAGAUACCCUGGUAGUCCACGCCGUAAACGAUGUCAACUAGUCAGGGUCCCUUGAGGACUUAGUGACGCAUCUAACGCAAUAAGUUGACCGCCUGGGGAGUACUCGCAAGAGUAAAACUCAAAGGAAUUGACGGGGGCCCGCACAAGCGGUGGAGCAUGUUUUAAUUCGAUGCAACGCGAAGAACCUUACCAUCCCUUGACAUCCAGAGAAAUCAGCAGAUGCAGACGUGCCUUCGGGAACUCUGUGACAGGUGCUGCACGGCUGUCGUCAGCUCGUCGUGAGAUGUUGGGUUAAGUCCCGCAACGAGCGCAACCCCUAUCCUUGGUUGCUAACGUAAUGCUGAGAACUCCAGGGAGACUGCCGGUGACAAACCGGAGGAAGGUGGGGACGAUCAAGUCAUCAUGGCCCUUAUGGGAUGGGCUACACACGUGCUACAAUGGUCGGUACAAGGUAGCAAACUCGCGAGAGUAAGCUAAUCCCACAAAGCCGAUCGUAGUCCGGAUUGGACUGCAACUCGACUCCAUGAAGAUGGAAUCGCUAGUAAUCGUGAAUCAGAAUGUCGCGGAAUACGUUCCCGGGCCUUGUACACACCGCCCGUCACACCAUGGGACGUGGGUUGCACCAAGUAGCUAGACUAACCUUCGGGAGGUCGGCUACCACGGUGUGAUUCAUGACUGGGGUG